AUAACCAUCAAUUAAGUCGCGUGCAUCAUCUGGAACACCUGUUUUGGACAAAUGACAGCACGUGUCGUGCGCGAGUCUAGUAGCUCCUCGGGUCAGUUUAUUUGGCUAUUCUGCUCAGCGGGUGGCCGGUAACGCAACACCAAAGAUAAUUUUAGCUGUUAGCGAUGCUAAAAAGACGAACCAAUAGUGAGUUUCAGGCAGAUGGAUGCAGCAGGAACCCCCCAGUAUAACGCACCCAACCUGCCCUGUUCUGGGUGGAUAAACUUCAGUGAUAGUGGCAGCAGGUCUGAUGAACUCAGCACAGCGAGAUCCAGGAUCAGCUUGUACUUUCAAGGACGAACACUUGAAAUGC